rnacentral:rRNA from 1 species
CCUACGGGUGGCAGCAGUGAGGAAUAUUGGUCAAUGGACGAGAGUCUGAACCAGCCAAGUAGCGUGAAGGAUGACGGUUCUAUGGUUUGUACACUUCUUUUAUAUGGGAAUAAAAUGUUCCACGUGUGGGAUUUUGUAUGUCCCAUAUGAUUAAGGCUCGGCUAACUCCGUGCCAGCAGCCGCGGUAAUACGGAGGCUCCGAGCGUUCUCCGGAUUCAUUGGGUUUAAAGGGAGCGUAGGUUGAUUGUUAAGGUAGUUGUGAAAGGUUGCGGCUCAACCGUAGAAUUGCAGUUGAAACUGGCAGUCUUGAGUACAGUAGAGGUAGGCGGAAUUCGUGGUGUAGCGGUGAAAUGCUUAGAUAGCACGAAGAACUCCGAUUGCGAAGGCAGCUCACUGGACUGCAACUGACACUGAGGCACGAAAGUGUGGGUAUCAAACAGGAUUAGAUACCCCAGUAGUC